rnacentral:rRNA from 1 species
UACGUAGGUGGCGAGCGUUGUCCGGAUUUAUUGGGCGUAAAGCGCGCGCAGGCGGUGCGGUAAGUCUGUCGUGAAAUCUCCCGGCUCAACUGGGAGGGUGCGGUGGAGACUGCCGGACUAGAGGCACUCAGAGGCCGGUGGAAUUCCCGGUGUAGUGGUGAAAUGCGUAGAGAUCGGGAGGAACACCAGUGGCGAAGGCGGCCGGCUGGGGGAGACCUGACGCUGAGGCGCGAAAGCGUGGGGAGCGAACAGG